AGAGCAUCCGGCUGUUAACCGGAGGGUCGUAGGUUCAAACCCUACACGGGGAGCCA
rnacentral:tRNA from 1 species